GGGGAUGUAGCUCAGCUGGCUAGAGCGCUUGACUGGCAGUCAAGAGGUCGUGGGUUCGAGUCCCAUCUUCUCCACCA
rnacentral:tRNA from 5 species